rnacentral:tRNA from 1 species
GCCUGGGUGGCUCAGUGGGUUGAGCGUCCGACUUCAGCUCAGGUCAUGAUCUCAUGGUUGGUGGGUUCAAGCCCCACGUCGGGCU